GCUCCAGGCUCUGAGCUGUCAACACAGAGUCCAACGCAGGGCUCGAACUCAUGAAACAGGAGAUGGUGACCUGAGCAGACGUUGGACGCUCAACAAACUGAGCCACCCACGCAUCCCUAGUAUUUGUUCUUAUUGAAUCCCAUAGGCACGUAGGCUUUCUUCAAUCUUUUUCAUUGUUUUCUGUAUUCUCCGCUAAUCAGGUUAUUUCAAAAUUCCCAUCCUUUAAGUCACAUACUCUGUCUUCCAUUUGCUUUACUGAAGAUGUGCUCUAUUGCAUUUUCAUUUCACUUGUGGAGUUCUUCCAAGCCACAAUUUCUACUUGGUUCCUUUUUUUUUUUUUUUUUUUUUUUUUUUUUUUUUUUUUUUUGUGAUUCCUAUCUCCUUGGGAAGUAUCUUAUUUUAAACUUGUGUUUUUUUUCCCAUUUCACUGAAUUGUCUUUCUGAGUUUUCUUGUAGCACUUAGAGCUUCCUCAAAACAGCUAUUUUUUUACUUAUUAACUAGAUCACAAAAUUCCACGUUUUUAAGCUUGAUUAUUGGAGAAUUAACUUUUGAUGGUUUUCUUGAUUUUUUUCAUGUUCCUUGUAUUUUUGCAAUGCUGCUCUUGCAUUUGAAGUAGGAGACUCCUGUUUAACGGUUUGCUAGUUGCCUUCAGUAAGUUCUGGUUGUUAGUGUUGUUAUUACCUGGGUUAUCUCUGACUUUGGAUGGUACACCUGUUCCACUCUUCUCGUUCCCUCUUGUGGCAGAAUUCUUAAGCUCUAUGUCGUCUUUGGUUCUUAAAAUUCAUCUUACUGGCUACUGAAAGGAAACCGCUCUCCUGUUUUCCGGUGGAAGUGAUGCUUGUGGUUUCUCCCUUGCCCCAUAGCCUGGCUCUUUUCUGGUCUCAGAGCUUGCUCUGGCUGCUGAGCUCAGGAACAUAAGGAGAGGCUGCAGAGCAGGGAGUCGCAUGGGUUUCCCUCUGGGGCACUGGGGGUACCCUGGACCCGGUGCAGAGGUCCCCAUAUGUGGUGUCCCCAGAGGCUACAGGUUGGACUUCCUGCUGAGUGCAGCCAUCAGAAACUGCAUCCACUCACUGCCCUGUGACGUUCUCUGCCUCCGUCCUCCUCUCCUCCUCCUGCCAGUCACAGAGGACUGCGGGUUCUGCGGCUGAGUCCUGCAACACUGGGGUGGCCAGGCUCCCCUGGCCGAGUGCCUCCUCUCCUGUGCAGAGGUCACUGUGGCCUCCAGUUAGUCCCAUGCCGUCUUUCCUUGCGGGGGGAGUUGGGGGCGAGGUGCAAAGCUGGGAACCAAAGUGCUUUCGGGGUUCCCGGGUGUCUGCAGUUGCUCUGUAUUCUGGGGAAUCUGCCCGGGGUCAACACUCUCCAGGUAUUGUUCUGACUGUGGCAAGAAGGGUUGGGGCAGGAUCCUUGCUCCCCACUGGCUUCACUUGCUCCUCUUGCUCAGAGGGAGCUGUGUCUGCCUAUUAUCGGAUGCACAGGUGGAUGAGACUCUCUUGGGUCCUGGAUCCCACAGCAGCCAUAAGGGCACUUUGGUUGGCAGAGAGGUCUGAUUCUUUGUCGAACAUCUUACCCACCAUGAUGCUGACAUCAGUUUAGUGUUCUUUCUUCUUCUUGUCCUAAACCUAACUUACCUCGUCUGUUUUUCUUUUCUCAUUCAUUAACCAACUUCUCAGGUGUCGUGUUCCCAGAUCUUCACUUCCUGUACCAUCCCGUCUCCUCUAGUCACUGUGGACUUAAUCCUUUGGUUAUCCUCUGGUGGUUAACAGUCACCCCUCUUCCUGUCCUUUGGUGUCCGUAACCACAUCAAAUCUCUUUCUUCACCCAGAAGGAAAAAAAAAAAAACUUUUUAAAGCCCUGUAGACCCCUUCAGCAAGACUUUUAAUAACUUUAUGAUCUUAAAAGUAAUGUGCAUAGUAAACAUACGAAGGAGAAAAAGGAGGCAUCCCCAAAUCGAUAGUGGUUCUUCUGUAAUGCUGCUUCUCUAGCUGACUCCUCACCUAAGAUUUCUAAGCCUUCCCUAAUUCGUCCCCCUUCUACGUUUUGUGCUGUGUAUCCUACAGUCUUGUAGUCUUUUCUUCAUUGCACCUAACUCUGGUUUAUAAGUAGAAUGUUGUAUGUAUUCGAUACCCCCACUAGAUCAGAAACUACAUGGGAACAGGGAACGUCUUUUCUCAUUAUUAUAUACUCAGCAUCUAACACAGAUGCUGUAGAUCAAGUAUUUGUUAAAUUAAUGACGUUUACACUGUGUCAUCUGAGUUCCCUUAGCACUCUACACCUUCGGUUAUACUCUGCCCCGUUCCUGGAAGGUAGGGCUGUUAUCAUUGCACGACUUUAUUAAGCCACCCACAAUCUUCAAGGGGCAGAUAUUAGGAACCUGGAUCUUGACUUUGAGCAAUUCUGGGCCUCAGCUUUCUCUCCAGUGUGAGAUUAAGAAGUUAGAUUGGGUAAGAGUUUUCAAACCACCCUUUAGGCCCAUAGCGAUUUCUAGGAUGCCUUCCCAGAGCUGCCUAAUUGAAAUGUCACUUUAGAAUGUGUUGCCUGGGUGAUUUCUAAGUUCUAAAUCUCAGACUCUGAAACAACCAAGAACCUACCCUUAGCUCUAAUUCUGGCAAAAACAGAUUUUCUUGUCAGCUCCUCGGUAUCACGUAGGCCUUCUAAUACACAUGUGCUUAGUGAAGAUUGUCCACAGUGUCCUACCUUUCAGCUGUGAUCCCUGGGCAGCAGAAUCAACAUCACUUGAAGUACGAAAGUGGCACCACACCUGCUCCACCGACCCCAGAUCCCCCGGGCCAGACUCUGCAGUUUAGAUUCCCAGGUAUAUUUUCAAGAAAGGAUGACCCCAUCACUGACACCUGGGAACUUGUGAGCAGUGCAAGUGCUGGGGCCCAGCAAUGUCCUGAUGAGCUCUCUUGUGAUCCUCACAUCAGAAGUCUGAGAACCACUGAAUUAGGUGCUGAAGGCACAGACAAGGGCUGAGCCACACUGCAUCACAGUCUGGUCAGGAGGGUGACACCGACCUGCAUGGACACAGGCAUCACAGUUUUCACACUGUAGUAACUUGGAAAUGUUGCAACCGUGUCAACGGAGACAAAAAAGCCAAAGUAACACGAAUCUUACUUUCAUGCAGCUAUCAGGUAAAUAGUACAUACU